GAUGAACGCUGGCGGCGUGCCUAAUACAUGCAAGUCGAGCGAAUGGAUUGAGAGCUUGCUCUUAUGAAGUUAGCGGCGGACGGGUGAGUAACACGUGGGUAACCUGCCCAUAAGACUGGGAUAACUCCGGGAAACCGGGGCUAAUACCGGAUAACAUUUUGAACCGCAUGGUUCGAAAUUGAAAGGCGGCUUCGGCUGUCACUUAUGGAUGGACCCGCGUCGCAUUAGCUAGUUGGUGAGGUAACGGCUCACCAAGGCAACGAUGCGUAGCCGACCUGGUAGGGUGAUCGGUCACACUGGGACUGAGACACGGCCCAGACUCCUACGGGAGGCAGCAGUAGGUAAUCUUCCGCAAUGGACGAAAGUCUGACGGAGCAACGCCGCGUGAGUGAUGAAGGCUUUCGGGUCGUAAAACUCUGUUGUUAGGGAAGAACAAGUGCUAGUUGAAUAAGCUGGCACCUUGACGGUACCUAACCAGAAAGCCACGGCUAACUACGUGCCAGCCGCCGCGGUAA
rnacentral:rRNA from 1 species